rnacentral:rRNA from 1 species
GACCUGCGUUAGUUAGCAAUUAUACAGCGAAACUGCGAAUGGCUCAUUAUAUAAGUUAUCGUUUAUUUGAUAGUACCUUACUACUUGGAUAACCGUGGUAAUUCUAGAGCUAAUACAUGCUAAAAAUCCCGACUUCGGAAGGGAUGUAUUUAUUAGAUUAAAAACCAAUGCCCUUCGGGGCUCACUGGUGAUUCAUAAUAACUUCUCGAAUCGCAUGGCCUUGCGCCGGCGAUGGUUCAUUCAAAUUUCUUCCCUAUCAACUUUCGAUGCUAGAGUAGUGUUCUAGCAUGGUUACAACGGGUAACGGAGGGUUAGGGCUCGACCCCGGAGAAGGAGCCUGAGAAACGGCUACUACAUCCAAGGAAGGCAGCAGGCGCGCAAAUUACCCAAUCCCGACACGGGGAGGUAGUGACGAUAAAUACUGAUACAGGGCUCUUUUGGGUCUUGUAAUUGGAAUGAGUACAAUUUAAAUCCCUUAACGAGGAACAAUUGGAGGGCAAGUCUGGUGCCAGCAGCCGCGGUAAUUCCAGCUCCAAUAGCGUAUAUUAAAGUUGUUGUGGUUAAAAAGCUCGUAGUAGAACCUUGGGCCUGGCUGACCGGUCCGCCUCACCGCGUGUACUGGUCCGGCCGGGCCCCCACCAUAGUCUAACCGCAUGCCCUUCACUGGGUGUGUUGGCGAAACUAUAUUUUUACUUUGAAAAAAUUAGAGUGCUCCAGGCAGGCCUAUGCUCGAAUACAUUAGCAUGGAAUAAUAGAAUAGGACGUGUGGUUCUAUUUUGUUGGUUUCUAGGACCGCCGUAAUGAUUAAUAGGGACAGUCGGGGGCAUCAGUAUUCAAUUGUCGAAGGUGAAA